UACAGAGGUCUCAAGCGUUGUUCGGAUUCAUUGGGCGUAAAGGGUGCGUAGGCGGCGCGGUAAGUCGGGUGUGAAAUCUUGGAGCUUAACUCCGAAACUGCAUUCGAUACUGCCGUGCUUGAGGACUGGAGAGGAGAAUGGAAUUCCCGGUGUAGCGGUGAAAUGCGCAGAUAUCGGGAAGAACACCCCGUGGCGAAGGCGGUUCUCUGGGACGGUACUGACGCUGAGACGCGAAAGCGUGGGGAGCGAACAGG
rnacentral:rRNA from 1 species